rnacentral:rRNA from 1 species
UACAGAGGUCUCAAGCGUUGUUCGGAUUCAUUGGGCGUAAAGGGUGCGUAGGCGGCGCGGUAAGUCGGGUGUGAAAUCUCGGGGCUUAACUCCGAAACUGCAUUCGAUACUGCCGUGCUUGAGGACUGGAGAGGAGACUGGAAUUUACGGUGUAGCGGUGAAAUGCGCAGAUAUCGGGAGGAACACCAGUAGCGAAGGCGGCUCGCUGGGCCAUUCCUGACGCUGAGACGCGAAAGCUAGGGGAGCGAACAGG